CCUACGGGAGGCUGCAGUCGAGAAUCAUUCACAAUGGGGGAAACCCUGAUGGUGCGACGCCGCGUGGGGGAAUGAAGGUCUUCGGAUUGUAAACCCCUGUCAUGUGGGAGCAAAUUAAAAAGAUAGUACCACAAGAGGAAGAGACGGCUAACUCUGUGCCAGCAGCCGCGGUAAUACAGAGGUCUCAAGCGUUGUUCGGAAUCACUGGGCGUAAAGCGUGCGUAGGCUGUUUCGUAAGUCGUGUGUGAAAGGCGCGGGCUCAACCCGCGGACGGCACAUGAUACUGCGAGACUAGAGUAGUGGAGGGGGAACCGGAAUUCUCGGUGUAGCAGUGAAAUGCGUAGAUAUCGAGAGGAACACUCGUGGCGAAGGCGGGUUCCUGGACAUUAACUGACGCUGAGGCACGAAGGCCAGGGGAGCGAAAGGGAUUAGAUACCCCAGUAGUC
rnacentral:rRNA from 1 species